GUGAGGAAUAUUGGUCAAUGGGCGAAAGCCUGAACCAGCCAUGCCGCGUGCAGGAAGACGGUCCUAUGGAUUGUAAACUGCUUUUAUUUGGGAAUAAACCUCUUUACGUGUAGAGAGCUGAAGGUACCAAAUGAAUAAGCACCGGCUAACUCCGUGCCAGCAGCCGCGGUAAUACGGAGGGUGCAAGCGUUAUCCGGAAUCAUUGGGUUUAAAGGGUCCGCAGGCGGUCUUAUAAGUCAGUGGUGAAAGCCUACAGCUCAACUGUAGAACUGCCAUUGAUACUGUAGGACUUGAAUUCGGUCGAAGUGGGCGGAAUAUGACAUGUAGCGGUGAAAUGCUUAGAUAUGUCAUAGAACACCGAUAGCGAAGGCAGCUCACUAGGCCUGGAUUGACGCUCAGGGACGAAAGCGUGGGGAGCAA
rnacentral:rRNA from 1 species